AGAGUUUGAUCAUGGCUCAGAUUGAACGCUGGCGGCAGGCCUAACACAUGCAAGUCGAGCGGAAACGAGUUAUCUGAACCUUCGGGGAACGAUAACGGCGUCGAGCGGCGGACGGGUGAGUAAUGCCUAGGAAAUUGCCCUGAUGUGGGGGAUAACCAUUGGAAACGAUGGCUAAUACCGCAUGAUGCCUACGGGCCAAAGAGGGGGACCUUCGGGCCUCUCGCGUCAGGAUAUGCCUAGGUGGGAUUAGCUAGUUGGUGAGGUAAGGGCUCACCAAGGCGACGAUCCCUAGCUGGUCUGAGAGGAUGAUCAGCCACACUGGAACUGAGACACGGUCCAGACUCCUACGGGAGGCAGCAGUGGGGAAUAUUGCACAAUGGGCGCAAGCCUGAUGCAGCCAUGCCGCGUGUGUGAAGAAGGCCUUCGGGUUGUAAAGCACUUUCAGUCGUGAGGAAGGUAGUGUGUUUAAUAGAUGCAUUAUUUGACGUUAGCGACAGAAGAAGCACCGGCUAACUCCGUGCCAGCAGCCGCGGUAAUACGGAGGGUGCGAGCGUUAAUCGGAAUUACUGGGCGUAAAGCGCAUGCAGGUGGUUUGUUAAGUCAGAUGUGAAAGCCCGGGGCUCAACCUCGGAAUAGCAUUUGAAACUGGCAGACUAGAGUACUGUAGAGGGGGGUAGAAUUUCAGGUGUAGCGGUGAAAUGCGUAGAGAUCUGAAGGAAUACCGGUGGCGAAGGCGGCCCCCUGGACAGAUACUGACACUCAGAUGCGAAAGCGUGGGGAGCAAACAGGAUUAGAUACCCUGGUAGUCCACGCCGUAAACGAUGUCUACUUGGAGGUUGUGGCCUUGAGCCGUGGCUUUCGGAGCUAACGCGUUAAGUAGACCGCCUGGGGAGUACGGUCGCAAGAUUAAAACUCAAAUGAAUUGACGGGGGCCCGCACAAGCGGUGGAGCAUGUGGUUUAAUUCGAUGCAACGCGAAGAACCUUACCUACUCUUGACAUCCAGAGAACUUUCCAGAGAUGGAUUGGUGCCUUCGGGAACUCUGAGACAGGUGCUGCAUGGCUGUCGUCAGCUCGUGUUGUGAAAUGUUGGGUUAAGUCCCGCAACGAGCGCAACCCUUAUCCUUGUUUGCCAGCGAGUAAUGUCGGGAACUCCAGGGAGACUGCCGGUGAUAAACCGGAGGAAGGUGGGGACGACGUCAAGUCAUCAUGGCCCUUACGAGUAGGGCUACACACGUGCUACAAUGGCGCAUACAGAGGGCAGCCAACUUGCGAAAGUGAGCGAAUCCCAAAAAGUGCGUCGUAGUCCGGAUUGGAGUCUGCAACUCGACUCCAUGAAGUCGGAAUCGCUAGUAAUCGUGGAUCAGAAUGCCACGGUGAAUACGUUCCCGGGCCUUGUACACACCGCCCGUCACACCAUGGGAGUGGGCUGCAAAAGAAGUAGGUAGUUUAACCUUCGGGGGGACGCUUACCACUUUGUGGUUCAUGACUGGGGUGAAGUCGUAACAAGGUAGCGCUAGGGGAACCUGGCGCUGGAUCACCUCCUUA
rnacentral:rRNA from 1 species